UACGAAAGGUGCGAGCGUUAAUCGGAAUUACUGGGCGUAAAGCGCGCGUAGGUGGUGUGUUAAGUCGGAUGUGAAAGCCCUGGGCUCAACCUGGGAACUGCAUCCGAUACUGGCACGCUAGAGUGCAGUAGAGGGAGGUGGAAUUUCCGGUGUAGCGGUGAAAUGCGUAGAGAUCGGAAGGAACACCAGUGGCGAAGGCGGCCUCCUGGACUGACACUGACACUGAGGUGCGAAAGCGUGGGGAGCAAACAGG
rnacentral:rRNA from 1 species